rnacentral:piRNA from 1 species
UCCAUCAAGGAAGGAGGGACACUUGC